rnacentral:rRNA from 1 species
AAAGGGCCGCGGUAUACUGACCGUGCGAAGGUAGCAUAAUCAUUAGUCUUUUAAUUGAAGGCUUGUAUGAAUGGUUGGACAAAAAGUAAGCUGUCUCAAUUAUAAUAAUUGAAUUUAACUUUUAAGUGAGAAGGCUUAAAUAAAUUAAGGGGACGAUAAGACCCUAUAAAGCUUGACAAUAAAUCGUUUAUAUUAUAAACUGUUAGUGUAACUUGAUUUUAAACGGUGUUUGUUGCGUUGGGGCGACGGGAAUAUAAAAGGUAACUGUUCUUAUAACAUUUAAUAACAGAAAUAUCUGAAAAAUUAAUGAUCCUUUUUUAAAGAUCAUAAGAUUAAGUUACUUUAGGGAUAACAGCGUAAUCUUCUUUAAGAGUCCAUAUCGACAGGAAGGGUUGCGACCUCGAUGUUGAAUUAAGGUAUCCUUAUAAUGCAGCAGUUAUAAAGGAAGGUCUGUU